GACGGGGGAUGCAAGCGGUAUGCGGAAUCACUGGGCGUAAAGCGUCUGUAGGUGGUGAUGCAAGUCACUGGUGCAAAACUCUGGCUCAACCGGAGGAAAGCCAGUGAAACUGCAUGACUAGAGUGUGGGAGAGGUAGAAGGAAUUCCCUGAGUAGCGGUGAAAUGCGUAGAUACAGGGAAGAACACCGGAGGCGAAAGCGUUCUACUGGACCUCAACUGACACUGAGAGCCGAAAGCUAGGGGAGCGAAGGGG
rnacentral:rRNA from 1 species